rnacentral:rRNA from 1 species
AUUGAACGCUGGCGGCAUGCCUUACACAUGCAAGUCGAACGGCAGCACGGACUUCGGUCUGGUGGCGAGUGGCGAACGGGUGAGUAAAGUAUCGGAACGUACCUUUCAGUGGGGGAUAACGUAGCGAAAGUUAAGCUAAUACCGCAUAUUCUGUGCGCAGGAAAGCAGGGGAUCGCAAGACCUUGCGCUGCUUGAGCGGCCGAUAUCAGAUUAGCUAGUUGGUGGGGUAAAGGCCUACCAAGGCGCCGAUCUGUAGCGGGUCUGAGAGGAUGAUCCGCCACACUGGAACUGAGACACGGUCCAGACUCCUACGGGAGGCAGCAGUGGGGAAUUUUGGACAAUGGGGGCAACCCUGAUCCAGCCAUGCCGCGUGAGUGAAGAAGGCCUUCGGGUUGUAAAGCUCUUUCGGCCGGGAAGAAAUCGUACGGGUUAAUACCCUGUGCGGAUGACGGUACCGGCAUAAGAAGCACCGGCUAACUACGUGCCAGCCGCCGCGGUAAUAC